UUCGGGGUACUCGAGCGGCGAACGGGUGAGUAACACGUGAGCAACCUGCCCCAGGCUUUGGGAUAACCCCGGGAAACCGGGGCUAAUACCGAAUAUGACCUUGCACCGCAUGGUGUUUGGUGGAAAGUUUUUCGGCUUGGGAUGGGCUCGCGGCCUAUCAGCUUGUUGGUGGGGUGAUGGCCUACCAAGGCGACGACGGGUAGCCGGCCUGAGAGGGCGACCGGCCACACUGGGACUGAGACACGGCCCAGACUCCUACGGGAGGCAGCAGUGGGGAAUAUUGCACAAUGGGCGGAAGCCUGAUGCAGCGACGCCGCGUGAGGGAUGACGGCCUUCGGGUUGUAAACCUCUUUCAGCAGGGACGAAGCGUAAGUGACGGUACCUGCAGAAGAAGCGCCGGCCAACUACGUGCCAGCAGCCGCGGUAAGACGUAGGGCGCGAGCGUUGUCCGGAUUUAUUGGGCGUAAAGAGCUCGUAGGCGGCUUGUCGCGUCGACCGUGAAAACCUGGGGCUCA
rnacentral:rRNA from 1 species